UUCGUCACACUAUCAUUAACUGAAUCCAUAGGUUAAUGAGGCGAACCGGGGGAACUGAAACAUCUAAGUACCCCGAGGAAAAGAAAUCAACCGAGAUUCCCCCAGUAGCGGCGAGCGAACGGGGAGGAGCCCAGAGCCUGAAUCAGUGUGUGUGUUAGUGGAAGCGUCUGGAAAGGCGCGCGAUACAGGGUGACAGCCCCGUACACAAAAAUGCACAUACUGUGAGCUCGAUGAGUAGGGCGGGACACGUGGUAUCCUGUCUGAAUAUGGGGGGACCAUCCUCCAAGGCUAAAUACUCCUGACUGACCGAUAGUGAACCAGUACCGUGAGGGAAAGGCGAAAAGAACCCCGGCGAGGGGAGUGAAAAAGAACCUGAAACCGUGUACGUACAAGCAGUGGGAGCCUCUUUAUGGGGUGACUGCGUACCUUUUGUAUAAUGGGUCAGCGACUUAUAUUCUGUAGCAAGGUUAACCGAAUAGGGGAGCCGAAGGGAAACCGAGUCUUAACUGGGCGUUAAGUUGCAGGGUAUAGACCCGAAACCCGGUGAUCUAGCCAUGGGCAGGUUGAAGGUUGGGUAACACUAACUGGAGGACCGAACCGACUAAUGUUGAAAAAUUAGCGGAUGACUUGUGGCUGGGGGUGAAAGGCCAAUCAAACCGGGAGAUAGCUGGUUCUCCCCGAAAGCUAUUUAGGUAGCGCCUCGUGAAUUCAUCUCCGGGGGUAGAGCACUGUUUCGGCAAGGGGGUCAUCCCGACUUACCAACCCGAUGCAAACUGCGAAUACCGGAGAAUGUUAUCACGGGAGACACACGGCGGGUGCUAACGUCCGUCGUGAAGAGGGAAACAACCCAGACCGCCAGCUAAGGUCCCAAAGUCAUGGUUAAGUGGGAAACGAUGUGGGAAGGCCCAGACAGCCAGGAUGUUGGCUUAGAAGCAGCCAUCAUUUAAAGAAAGCGUAAUAGCUCACUGGUCGAGUCGGCCUGCGCGGAAGAUGUAACGGGGCUAAACCAUGCACCGAAGCUGCGGCAGCGACACUAUGUGUUGUUGGGUA
rnacentral:rRNA from 1 species